GACUGCGUGUGCUCAGGUCUGGGCUGGAGGAGACUAAAGCACACGAGGGAAAUUUUUCUUCAUAAGGAUGAAUAAUUAAAGUAGAGAGCUCAGCGCCCAGGCCUCACUGUGGCUAAUCACUGCAACAGGGAGCAGCAGAGGAAAAAAAAAAAAAAAUCAAUGGUCAGGAUGACAUCUGGGGAAGAGGGCUGGCAGGUACCCAUUUGUGGGACAUGUGAGAGCCAGUGUGCAGAUGCUCAAGGCGACAACUCUUUUUCUCUGGUCUAUGGUGCCCACAAAAAUCAAAGGCACCAGGCACACUGGUAACCUUUGGUAACAACAUCCGUGAAAGAGCCAGCCGAAGAAGCCUUGGGGAGGAGGCAGUAAAUUACCCAUUUAUAAUAUAACUGCUCGGGCUGCUUACAACCCAGGAUAAAAGGAAGCUCUCCACAAAAGCGUCCAUCUGGAGCCAUCCUUGCCCCAGCCGGCACCAAGUCAGUCGUGUACACUCUUUUUCAGGCCCUUUGGGGAGAUGGAAUGGGGAAUCAUCAGAGAAAUGCAGCUCAGAGAGCUUUAUUAGCUUGGGGACAUGGCAUGCUUUUUGUGGGUUCUUUGGUAUUUUCGAAUAAGCGAAAUCAUCUGACUUCAGUACCUGAUAGCUUUCAGAAGCCAUGCCUGCUCCAUUCUGCCUCACAUCUGAGUACACCAGUUGAAGAAAUCCAGACAGCUCUUCUCUUGACAAUGACAGGGAAGUCCAGCCUGCAAAGAGCUCACCCUGUACCUGGGAACCCUCAUGCCAGCCCACUCCACCACCAAAGUCACGUGCCCAUUUCUCACACAAACCAAGCACAUCAGUUUGAGCGCUUCCCCUGCUCUCUUCCCAGGAAGCCUGAUGACACAGGUGAUAAAUGUGCCUCUACUCUUAGUACACAUGUGGCAUAUUAGUUUUGACUCUGAACCAGCUCUUUCAUUUAAAAAAAUGAGGUUACUGAUUGUACCUAACUCAUAGGGAGGAAAUGAAAUAACAUUAGUGUUAGGAGUAGUGUCCAGAUUAUGGCUUCUGAACAUCUCUCUCCAGCAAAAGAUAUCAGGUUUCCUUGGAGAAAUGACUGCCUCCAGGGUUAGAGCAAGAAAAGUGUAAGAUAAGCCUAGAAAAGAAAGUAAUGAAUAGCAUGAUAAAUAAUGGGAGUGUGUGAAAAACAAGACUCAAGUCAAGUCUUCCCCUGGGUAAAUCUUAAACUGUUAGAAGGCAAAACAAAUAAUGAUAGUAAUGGAUUGUAAGCCAUAGACUAGAGAAAGAGUUUAUGAAACCAUAAUGUCAAAAAUAAUUGCUCAAAUAAAUACGUAAAUAAACUAACAGGGAAGCACGGUAAAACCUUCCUAGAAGUGGAGUUUUAACUAAUAUAGGCAGAAGGAACAAUGCAAGUAGAAAAUCAGGCAGCCAGCACCAUGCUCUCUGUUACUUAUUUUUGCAAGUAAGUAUCAAACAGAUGCUAAAAUUGGUGAACCUGACUGUGAUGUGAAACAGGGUACUUACUAUGUAUCAAAGCAUCUCCCCACAAGAUUCUAUUAAAUGCAAGAGGGAAAAAACAACUUUUCAGAAGCCUGACAGCCAUGACCUUAUCAAAGCGAUCAAAGUUAGUAUCCCCAGAAUUGGAGGGAAUUGAUAUCAGAUACCUUCUGCAACCAGGCUCUGAGUCUACAACAUGAUACUCCAGCCAAAUAUAUAACCCCUGAGUUGAUGCACAGAGAAAUAGGAAAAGACUACAUAGGGGAUAUUUCAUAAAGUAGCUGGAAAGUACUCCAAAAACAUCAGUCUUAAAUACAAAGAAACCAUGUGGACUGUCCUAGAUUAAAAAGAGAUUAAAGGACACAGUUAGAUGCAGUGUAUGAGCCUGGAUUAGAUGUCAUACCAGAAAAAGAACGUUAGUGUAAUAAAGGGAACUUUUUUCAAUAAAGUUUUCAGGUGACAUAAUACAUCUGUAUCAAUGUUUGAUCCACUGUGGUUGAAUAAAAUGUUAGCAGGAUGUGGGAGAAAGGUGUAUCAGAAUUCUCAUACUAAUUUUUCAACAUUUUAAAAUUAAUUCUGAAUGAAAGGUUAAGAUAAAAGUGGACAGCGUGGUGCCAUACCUAGUAAAACUCUCAAAGUGCAAAAUCCCAAAUGCUCACUAACUGAUUAGUAGAUCAAUAAAAUACACUAUAUCUAAGCCAUGGAAUGUUGUUCAGCUCCAAAAAGAGCUGAAGUACUAUGCAGGCUACCACAUGGGUUAACAAUGAAAGAAAGAAGUCACAAAGGUCACAUGAUAAAAACCCACUUAUAUGAAAUGUUCAGAAUACACAAACACAUGGAGAGAUGAGUGGCUGACAGAGUGGGCAGUAAAGAGGUGGGGAGUGACUGCUGAUGGACGUGGGGCUUCUUAAGGGGACACUGAAAAUGUUCUAAGAUCAGCCAGGCGUGACAGCUGCCAUGCAAAAGAAAUACACUGAAAAAACCCUGAACUUGC
ensembl:lincRNA